rnacentral:rRNA from 1 species
UUAAUUUGAGAGUUUGAUCCUGGCUCAGGACGAACGCUGGCGGCGUGCCUAAUACAUGCAAGUCGAACGAACUCUGGUAUUGAUUGGUGCUUGCAUCAUGAUUUACAUUUGAGUGAGUGGCGAACUGGUGAGUAACACGUGGGAAACCUGCCCAGAAGCGGGGGAUAACACCUGGAAACAGAUGCUAAUACCGCAUAACAACUUGGACCGCAUGGUCCGAGCUUGAAAGAUGGCUUCGGCUAUCACUUUUGGAUGGUCCCGCGGCGUAUUAGCUAGAUGGUGGGGUAAUGGCUCACCAUGGCAAUGAUACGUAGCCGACCUGAGAGGGUAAUCGGCCACAUUGGGACUGAGACACGGCCCAAACUCCUACGGGAGGCAGCAGUAGGGAAUCUUCCACAAUGGACGAAAGUCUGAUGGAGCAACGCCGCGUGAGUGAAGAAGGGUUUCGGCUCGUAAAACUCUGUUGUUAAAGAAGAACAUAUCUGAGAGUAACUGUUCAGGUAUUGACGGUAUUUAACCAGAAAGCCACGGCUAACUACGUGCCAGCAGCCGCGGUAAUACGUAGGUGGCAAGCGUUGUCCGGAUUUAUUGGGCGUAAAGCGAGCGCAGGCGGUUUUUUAAGUCUGAUGUGAAAGCCUUCGGCUCAACCGAAGAAGUGCAUCGGAAACUGGGAAACUUGAGUGCAGAAGAGGACAGUGGAACUCCAUGUGUAGCGGUGAAAUGCGUAGAUAUAUGGAAGAACACCAGUGGCGAAGGCGGCUGUCUGGUCUGUAACUGACGCUGAGGCUCGAAAGUAUGGGUAGCAAACAGGAUUAGAUACCCUGGUAGUCCAUACCGUAAACGAUGAAUGCUAAGUGUUGGAGGGUUUCCGCCCUUCAGUGCUGCAGCUAACGCAUUAAGCAUUCCGCCUGGGGAGUACGGCCGCAAGGCUGAAACUCAAAGGAAUUGACGGGGGCCCGCACAAGCGGUGGAGCAUGUGGUUUAAUUCGAAGCUACGCGAAGAACCUUACCAGGUCUUGACAUACUAUGCAAAUCUAAGAGAUUAGACGUUCCCUUCGGGACAUGGAUACAGGUGGUGCAUGGUUGUCGUCAGCUCGUGUCGUGAGAUGUUGGGUUAAGUCCCGCAACGAGCGCAACCCUUAUUAUCAGUUGCCAGCAUUAAGUUGGGCACUCUGGUGAGACUGCCGGUGACAAACCGGAGGAAGGUGGGGAUGACGUCAAAUCAUCAUGCCCCUUAUGACCUGGGCUACACACGUGCUACAAUGGAUGGUACAACGAGUUGCGAACUCGCGAGAGUAAGCUAAUCUCUUAAAGCCAUUCUCAGUUCGGAUUGUAGGCUGCAACUCGCCUACAUGAAGUCGGAAUCGCUAGUAAUCGCGGAUCAGCAUGCCGCGGUGAAUACGUUCCCGGGCCUUGUACACACCGCCCGUCACACCAUGAGAGUUUGUAACACCCAAAGUCGGUGGGGUAACCUUUUAGGAACCAGCCGCCUAAGGUGGGACAGAUGAUUAGGGUGAAGUCGUAACAAGGUAGCCGUAGGAGAACCUGCGGCUGGAUCACCUCCUUUCUAAGGAA